rnacentral:rRNA from 1 species
UCCAGACUCCUACGGGAGGCAGCAGUGGGGAAUCUUCCGCAAUGGGCGAAAGCCUGACGGAGCAACGCCGCGUGAUCGAAUGAAGGCCUUCGGGUUGUAAAGAUCUGUUGACAGGGACGAAUAAGCCAUGCGAAUAGUUUGGUGUAUGACGGUACCUGUUUAGAAAGCUCCGGCUAACUACGUGCCAGCAGCCGCGGUAAUACGUAGGGAGCAAGCGUUGUCCGGAUUUACUGGGUGUAAAGGGCGUGUAGGCGGGACUGCAAGUCAGAUGUGAAACCUCAGGGCUCAACCCUGAGCCUGCAUUUGAAACUGUAGUUCUUGAGUACUGGAGAGGCAGACGGAAUUCCUAGUGUAGCGGUGAAAUGCGUAGAUAUUAGGAGGAACACCAGUGGCGAAGGCGGUCUGCUGGACAGCAACUGACGCUGAGGCGCGAAAGCGUGGGGAGCAAACAGGAUUAGAUCCCC